UACUUUUAGUAAAUGCCAAUACUAAGCGUAGGCCUAGGUACUUUUACAUUCUGCAAAAUUAAAAUGCAUGACUUUCCUCACUAAAAUAUCCGAGUACUUUCACAGCUGCAGAUAAUCAUCUCCGGCGUGCCGUCAGGAGCGCAACUGUCGUGUUUUGAUGACGUCAUCCCUGGGACUUUCCGGAUACGUCAUUCGGGGCUUCCGAGUUAUUAAGCUAGCUCUCCCUCUGUGUCCAUGUCGUUUGAUACUUUAAACGUCGCCUCAUUGCUCUGGACUACACAUCAAGACGCCAUGAAAACGUCAAAGGCCACCAACGGCGCCGAGAGGUCUGAAUAUUGAGACGUUGGUGUCGGGAGCGACAGUCAGACCGAGAUACGGAAUGUCAACAACGCGGCCCCUCCUCGGAAUGAGGCGAGUUUCCCAACUAACGUGCGACGAGCAGCCGGCCAGGCAGCAGCUGGAGGACCCCACCGUGGACGAGUUUACGGUGCUGGAGGAGAAGGAAACCGAGCUGAAAUGCGCGAGGCCUCGAAUGGAGCAGGUUUUCAAAGUAACGUUGACCAUUAUCGGUCUGCUGGACCACAUGGGACCGCCGCACGGCGGCAACACGUCGCGGCAAAUAUGGCUGCAGCUCCGAGGGAACAGAGACGACGUGUCAAGGGCGAAGAUGAGUGGAAUUAAGUGGAGGAAUUCAUGGGAGCCCCUUGAAUCCCUGGACUUCAGCAACUGAGGACUGGAUGGAGAAUGGACAAGUGUCUCCCCCAAACCACGACUAUUUUUUUGUUCCUUGCAGUGUGUUUAAUUAAUUGUGUUCUAAUCUAAUCAAAAAUAAAUGUUAUCAUAAAUCUGUGUUCAGAAUUUAUUUUUAUUUAUUUAUUUCAUUUCUGAUUACAAAUAUUUGACACAGUGCUGUUGUCAGUGUACAUUUUCUGAAUUGAUAAGCACACACUGUUAAAACAUGUUUCUCUGAUCUCUCUCAUCUUUCAUUGAAGAGUGAAUUUUUGACAUCUUCAGAAACAUUUAAUCUUGCAACCAUUCAACAAAGCAUUACACCUCCUAUUUAACACAUUGGAAAGUGUUUCCUAAAUUGUUCUAAAGUUGUUGAAAUUGAACACCGGUGGAUUUAAAGAUGUCAACAAAAAACUGAGUAACAACCUGUGUUGAAGAAUGAAGGUGUAGUUCAAAUGCAGACACACGUGGGGGCGCUGUUCUGUCUGGUUCGUGAAGUGGUGGUGCUCCUGCCUCACCGGCCUGACCCAACGUUGCAUCUUCAUUACCUCUUGCACAUAGUUUACUUCUUCUUCUUCAAGGUUAAAGGUGCGUGCUGCUACCUGCUGC